rnacentral:lncRNA from 1 species
CCCGUGUAUACGACCUUUGAAAAGUUUAUGGCAGCAUAUUUCCCAAACUUUUGCACUAAUUUUUAAACGACUAUUAAUUAAUAUUUCUUUAAAUUACAGGACAGACAUGAGGACAUUAUUUCUCGUCACCCUCCUCUUUUGUUUGGGUGAACAAGCAUUUAUUUCAGAAAAUGUAGUUUUCGACAAAAUAAAUUCAAUUACGACCACAAGAUCGAAUUGGUUGGUUACAUUUGUCACAGACUUAAAACCUUUUGAUAAUUUUAUAAAGAAACUUUCAAAUGACAUUGUUCAAACAGCCGCGCUUGCUCAAGAGAUAACGAGACGAUAUGAUAAACCGGAAAAGGAAGGAUUUAAAAAUACCUUAUCUAAUUUAAGGAAUGAAUUUCGAUUACUAACAGAUACCCAUACUUCG